UACGUAGGGUGCAAGCGUUAAUCGGAAUUACUGGGCGUAAAGCGUGCGCAGGCGGUUAUGCAAGACAGAUGUGAAAUCCCCGGGCUUAACCUAGGAACUGCAUUUGUGACUGCAUAGCUGGAGUACGGUAGAGGGGGAUGGAAUUCCGCGUGUAGCAGUGAAAUGCGUAGAUAUGCGGAGGAACACCGAUGGCGAAGGCAGUCCCCUGGACCUGUACUGACGCUCAUGCACGAAAGCGUGGGGAGCAAACAGG
rnacentral:rRNA from 1 species